GGAGAGAUGCGAGAGUGGUUGAAUCGGGCCGCCUCGAAAGCGGCUAGGCUCGUAAGAGCCUCGCAGGUUCGAAUCCUGCUCUCUCCGCCA
rnacentral:tRNA from 1 species